AAGACUUUAUGUUAAAAAAACAAAUAGCCUUCAAAGCUGUAAAUAUAAGUUAAAUCUUAUAAGCCUUA
rnacentral:tRNA from 1 species